UCCUGGUUCGCUCAGUUGGUAGAGCGCUCCACUGGAAAUGGAGAGGACCCUGGUUCGGUACCAGGACUAGGCG
rnacentral:tRNA from 1 species